rnacentral:rRNA from 1 species
CCUACGGGGGGCUGCAGUGGGGAAUAUUGGACAAUGGGCGCAAGCCUGAUCCAGCAACGCCGCGUGGAGGACGAAGGUCUUCGGAUUGUAAACUCCUGUCAGGUGGGACGAAGGGACGGUGGCGAAUAGCCGCCGGCCUUGACGGUACCGCCAGAGGAAGCCCCGGCUAACUCCGUGCCAGCAGCCGCGGUAAUACGGAGGGGGCGAGCGUUAUUCGGAAUUAUUGGGCGUAAAGGGCGCGUAGGCGGCCCUGGUAAGUCAAAGGUGAAAUCCCUCGGCUCAACUGAGGAAUUGCCUUUGAAACUGCUGGGCUUGAGGCCGGGAGGGGGUAGUGGAAUUCCCAGUGUAGCGGUGAAAUGCGUAGAUACUGGGAGGAACACCAGUGGCGAAGGCGGCUACCUGGACCGGUUCUGACGCUGAUGCGCGAAAGCGUGGGGAGC